GUGGAAGUCAGUGUGGCAAUUCCUCAGGGAUCUAGAACUAGAAAUACCGUUUGACCCAGCCAUCCCAUUACUGGGUAUAUACCCAAAGGACUAUAAAUCAUGCUGCUAUAAAGACACAUGCACACGUAUGUUUAUUGCAGCACUAUUCACAAUAGCAAAGACUGGGAACCAACACAAAUGUCCAACAAUGAUAGACUGGAUUAAGAAAAUGUGGCACAUAUACACCAUGGAAUACUAUGCAGCCAUAAAAAAUGAUGAGUUCAUGUCCUUUGCAGGGACAUGCAGGAAGCUGGAAACCAUCAUUCUCAGCAAACUAUCACAAAGACAAAAAACCAAACACCCGCAUGUUCUCACUUAUAGGUGGGAAUUGAACAAUGAGAACACGUGGACACAGGAAGGGGAACAUCACACACCAGGGACGGUUGAGGGGUGGGGGGAUGGGGGAGGGAUAGCAUUAGGAGAUAUACCUGAUGCUAAAUGACUAGUUAAUGGGUGCAGCACACCAACAUGUCACGUGUAUACAUAUGUAACAAACCUGCACGUUGUGCACAUGUACUCUAUAACUUAAAAGUAUAAUAAAAAAAAGAAACAAGCAAAACAACUAAUAAAAACUCUAUACUGCCAUUCUUUUCAACUUUUUGUUGUUUCUCUUCAUUCCCUAUUUUACAGUCUAUGUAUUGGAAAUAAAUACAUUGUAGUUAUUAUUUUUAUUGGUUUAUUGUUUACUCUUUCUAUUUGAGAUUUUU
rnacentral:lncRNA from 1 species